rnacentral:sRNA from 1 species
CAAAACAAACCUGAAGGAUGUGAUUGGCGCCGGGUUGCAGCAGUUACUGGCGUCCCUGAGGGCCUCCAUCCUCGCUCGGGACUGUGCGGCUGCGGCAGCUAUUGUGUUCUUGGUGGACCGGUUCCUGUAUGGGCUCGACGUCUCUGGAAAACUUCUGCAGGUCGCCAAAGGUCUCCACAAGUUGCAGCCAGCCACGCCAAUUGCCCCGCAGGUGGUUAUUCGCCAAGCCCGAAUCUCCGUGAACUCAGGAAAACUUUUAAAAGCAGAGUAUAUUCUGAGCAGUCUAAUAAGCAACAAUGGAGCAACGGGUACCUGGCUGUACAGAAAUGAAAGUGACAAGGUCCUGGUGCAGUCGGUCUGUAUACAGAUCAGAGGGCAGAUUCUGCAAAAGCUGGGUACAAUCAUCUAAAACUUGCAUUUCUCAAGGCUCAUUUACAAAGCCUGGCUGCAUGGUUUCACUGUGGAAUUUUCUUCUUUUAUCAGGCUAAAAUUGUUAAUUUCCACUUGCCUUAGUUUCCUCAUCGAAAAGAGAAUGGCAUUUAAGAUCCUAGGAGUGUCACAAAUAUUAAUAAAAUGUGUUUUUUUCUAGUGAGUUUUGUUAGAGAGGUUCACGGUUGUAUAUCGUAAUGUUAACUGUAGGGUUCCCAGUGUUAUUUCUAGCAUCUGACUCAGUUCAGCAGGACUCCAUGUGAUAUGGUGACACCUUAUACUAUACCCACCGUGACACUGGUUUCGUUCAUUCCUUAAGGUAUUCAUGAAUUUUUCAAGUUUAUAGAAUGCUAAUAUACUUUAGAAUGCAAAAUAAUGGUUUGAGAAAUUUUAACAGGAGGUGGCAAUUAUUAUUUUUGUAAAAAACUGAGAUAACUACAUAUAUUACACAUAUUAUAUAUACAAGUAUAUAAUAAUUCUGUUUCCCAGUGAAAUGGAAAAAUUGUCUAUAUUACAACUGGAAAAACAUUGCUGUGUCAAUCUAAUCUAAGCCUGAGUUUUCCUAACGGAAUCUAAUGAGUCUUGGUUCUGUAUUUGUUUUCAAAGGUUUUCUCUAUACAAGAGCACAGAUACUAGCUGUUCCUCCCCUGUCCCUCUCCCCGCCCCUCUUUUUUUUUUCAGGGAUGUGGUACGAAGCAGCAGAGUUAAUAUGGGCCUCCAUUGUAGGAUAUUUGGCACUUCCUCAGCCGGAUAAAAAGGGCCUCUCCACGUCGCUAGGUAUACUGGCAGACAUCUUUGUUUCCAUGAGCAAGAACGAUUAUGAAAAGUUUAAAAACAAUCCACAAAUUAAUUUGAGCCUGCUGAAGGAGUUUGACCACCAUUUGCUGUCCGCUGCAGAAGCCUGCAAGCUGGCAGCUGCCUUCAGUGCCUAUACGCCGCUCUUCGUGCUCACAGCUGUGAAUAUCCGUGGCACGUGUUUAUUGUCAUACAGUAGUUCAAAUGACUGUCCUCCAGAAAUGAAAAACUUAUACCUGUGUGAAGCCAAAGAGGCCUUUGAGAUUGGCCUCCUCACCAAGAGAGAUGAUGAGCCUGUUACUGGAAAACAGGAGCUUCACAGCUUUGUCAAAGCUGCUUUCGGUCUCACCACAGUGCACAGAAGGCUCCAUGGGGAGACAGGGACGGUCCAUGCAGCAAGUCAGCUCUGUAAGGAAGCAAUGGGGAAGCUGUACAAUUUCAGCACUUCCUCCAGAAGUCAGGACAGAGAAGCUCUGUCUCAAGAAGUUAUGUCUGUGAUUGCCCAGGUGAAGGAACAUUUACAAGUUCAAAGCUUCUCAAAUGUAGAUGACAGAUCUUAUGUUCCCGAGAGUUUUGAGUGCAGGUUGGAUAAACUUAUCUUGCAUGGGCAAGGGGAUUUCCAAAAAAUCCUUGACACCUAUUCACAGCACCAUACUUCGGUGUGUGAAGUAUUUGAAAGUGAUUGUGGAAACAACAAAAAUGAACAGAAAGAUGCAAAAACAGGAGUCUGCAUCACUGCUCUAAAAACAGAAAUAAAAAACAUAGAUACUGUGAGUACUACUCAAGAAAAGCCACAUUGUCAAAGAGACACAGGAAUAUCUUCCUCCCUAGUGGGUAAGAAUGUUCAGAGGGAACUCAGAAGGGGAGGAAGGAGAAACUGGACCCAUUCUGAUGCAUUUCGAGUCUCCUUGGAUCAAGAUGUGGAGACUGAGACUGAGCCAUCGGACUACAGCAAUGGUGAGGGAGCUGUUUUCAACAAGUCUCUGAGUGGCAGCCAGACUUCCAGUGCUUGGAGCAACUUAUCAGGGUUUAGUUCCUCUGCAAGCUGGGAGGAAGUGAAUUAUCACGUUGACGACAGGUCAGCCAGAAAAGAGCCUGGCAAAGAACAUCUGGUGGACACUCAGUGUUCCACUGCCUUGUCUGAGGAGCUAGAGAAUGACAGGGAAGGCAGAGCUGUGCAUUCAUUGCGUUCACAGCUUCAUGAUCUCUCUCUUCAGGAACCCAACAAUGACAAUUUGGAGCAUUCUCAAAAUCAGCCACAGCAACAGAUGCCCUUGACACCCUUCUCGCCUCAUAAUACCCCAGGCACUUUCUUGGCCCCUGGUGCAGGGCUUCUAGAAGGAGCUCCAGAAGGUAUCCAGGAAGUCAGAAAUAUGGGACCCAGAAAUACUUCUGCUCACUCCAGACCCUCAUAUCGUUCUGCUUCUUGGUCUUCUGAUUCUGGUAGGCCCAAGAAUAUGGGCACACAUCCUUCAGUCCAAAAAGAAGAAGCCUUUGAAAUAAUUGUUGAGUUUCCAGAAACCAACUGCGAUGUCAAAGACAGGCACGGGAAAGAGCAGGAAGAAGAAAUUAGUGAAAGAGGCUCAGGCCCUACAUUUAAAGCUAGUCCCUCCUGGGUUGACCCAGAAGGAGAAACAGCAGAAAGCACUGAAGAUGCACCCUUAGACUUUCACAGGGUCCUGCACAAUUCUCUGGGAAACAUUUCCAUGCUGCCAUGUAGCUCCUUCACCCCUAAUUGGCCUGUUCAAAAUCCUGACUCCAGAAAAAGUGGUGGCCCAGUCGCAGAGCACGGCAUCGACCCUGAUGCCUCCACAGUGGAUGAGGAGGGGCAACUGCUCGACAGCACGGAUGUUCCCUGCACAAAUGGGCACGGCUCUCAUAGACUCUGCACUCUGAGACAGCCGCCUGGUCAGAAGGUGGAGACCCCCAAUUCCUCUGUAAGCGGUAACAUCCUCUUCCCUGUCCUCAGCGAGGACUGCACUACCACAGAGGAAGGAAAUCAGCCUGGAAACAUGCUAAACUGCAGCCAAAACUCCAGCUCAUCCUCAGUGUGGUGGCUGAAAUCACCUGCAUUUUCCAGUGGUUCUUCUGAGGGGGACAGCCCUUGGUCCUAUCUGAAUUCCAGUGGGAGUUCUUGGGUUUCAUUGCCGGGAAAGAUGAGGAAAGAGAUCCUUGAGGCUCGCACCUUGCAACCUGAUGACUUUGAAAAGCUGUUGGCAGGAGUGAGGCAUGAUUGGCUGUUUCAGAGACUAGAGAAUACGGGGGUUUUUAAGCCCAGUCAACUCCACCGAGCACAUACUGCUCUUUUGUUAAAAUAUUCAAAAAAUUCUGAACUGUGGACAGCCCAGGAAACUAUUGUCUAUUUGGGGGACUACUUGACUGUGAAGAAAAAAGGCAGACAAAGAAAUGCUUUUUGGGUUCAUCAUCUUCAUCAAGAAGAAAUUCUGGGGAGGUAUGUUGGGAAAGACUAUAAGGAGCAGAAGGGGCUCUGGCACCACUUCACUGAUGUGGAGCGGCAGAUGACCGCACAGCACUAUGUGACAGAAUUUAACAAGAGACUCUAUGAACAAAACAUUCCCACCCAGAUAUUCUACAUCCCAUCCACAAUACUACUGAUUUUAGAGGACAAGACAAUAAAGGGAUGUAUCAGUGUGGAGCCUUACAUACUGGGAGAAUUUGUAAAAUUGUCAAAUAACACGAAAGUGGUGAAAACAGAAUACAAAGCCACAGAAUAUGGCUUGGCCUAUGGCCAUUUUUCUUAUGAGUUUUCUAAUCAUAGAGAUGUUGUGGUCGAUUUACAAGGUUGGGUAACCGGUAAUGGAAAAGGACUCAUCUACCUCACAGAUCCCCAGAUUCACUCCGUUGAUCAGAGAGUUGUCACUACCAAUUUUGGAAAGAGAGGAAUUUUUUACUUCUUUAAUAACCAGCAUGUGGAAUGUAAUGAAAUCUGCCAUCGUCUUUCUUUGACUAGACCUUCAAUGGAGAAACCAUGCACAUAGAAUACGGCACAGUCUGGUCCUUUGGGGCUUGGGCAGGGCCGUGACACAGGUUCUGGCCAAUGAUUUGCAAGAGGAAUUGAUCAGGAUCACUUUAAGUCCUGCAUUUAAUUGGCAGCACAAGAUCCUGCAGAGCCUCUUUCCCUCUGCCACAGUUAUCAAGAAUGGGUCAGGAGACCGCUGCUUCUGGGCAUAAGUCCUGCAAGGAAAGCAACAUGGAAAACAGCCCCAACUCACCCAUGAGGGAUGAAAAGCACUGUUGAGAAAGGCAUGUGUUGUUUAAGCCAUUGAGAUUUUAGAGCUUUUUGUCACUAUCUGUCAAGACUGAUACUACUGGGGCUUUUCCUAUUGAUUUGGGAGUUCUUUACAUAUUAAAAAAAUGUGAGCCUUUGUGAUACGAAUUCAAUUUGUUUUUCUGUCUUUUGACAUUUGACUUUGCAUAAAAGUUUAUCUGUGCAUAAUUUUAUAUGUAGUUGAAUUCAUCAAUCUUUUAUUUUGUAUGGCUUUUUGGUUAUGUAUAAUACUUAGAUCCUCCUUAUACUCUGAGUUUCUUUUUAAUUCUCCUGUAUUUCCUUCUAGUAUAAUUAAAUCUGUAAAAAAUAAGAUGGAAGAGUGGUACAGUUUUCUUUAUCCAGUCUGUCCUUGAUGGGCAUUUAGGUAGACUGGAUAAAGAAAAUGUGGUACAUAUACACCAUGGAACACUAUGUGUAUUAAUCCACUCUCACACUGCUAUGAAGAGAUACCUGAGACUGGGUAAUUUAGAAAGAAAAGAGGUUUAAUUAACUCACAGUUCCACAUGGCUGGGGAGACCUCAGGAAACUUACAAUCAUGGCAGAAGGCACCUCUUCAUAGGGUAGCAGGAGAGAGAAUGAGUGCCAGCAGGGGAAAUGCCAGAUGCUUAUAAAGCCAUCAGAUCUUGUGAGAAUUCAUUCACUAUCACGAGAACAGCAUGGGAAAAACUGCCUCAAUUACCUCCUACCAGGUCCUUCCCAUGACACUUGGGAAUUAUGGGAUUACAAUUCGAGAUGAGAUUUGGGUGGGGACACAAAGCCAAACCAUAUCACAAUGUAACCAUAAAAAAGAAUGAGAUCAUGUCCUUUGCAGGGACAUGGAUAGAGCUGGAGGCCAUUAUCUUUAGCAAACUAAUGUAAGAACAGAAAACUAAAUACCACUUGUUCUCACUUAUAGGUGAGAGCUAAGUGAUGAGAGUAGGUGGACACAUAGAGGGAACAACACACACCAGGGCUUAUCAGAGGGUGGACGGUGGGAGGAGGGAGAGGAUCAGGAAAAAUAACUAAUGGGUACUAGGCUGAAUACCUGGGUGAUGAAGUAAUUCACACAACAAACCCCCAUGACACAAACCUGCACAUGUACCCCUGAACUUAAAAUAAAAGUAAAAAAAAAAAUC